GAAAUGCGAUAACUAAUGUGAAUUGCAGAAUUCAGUGAAUCAUCGAGUCUUUGAACGCACAUUGCGCCCCCUGGUAUUCCGGGGGGCAUGCCUGUCCGAGCGUCAUUGCUGCCCUCAAGCCCGGCUUGUGUGUUGGGUCGCCGUCCCCCUCUCCGGGGGGACGGGCCCGAAAGGCAGCGGCGGCACCGCGUCCGAUCCUCGAGCGUAUGGGGCUUUGUCACAUGCUCUGUAGGAUUGGCCGGCGCCUGCCGACGUUUACCAACCAUUCUUUCCAGGUUGACCUCGGAUCAGGUAGGGAUACCCGCUGAACUUAAGC
rnacentral:misc_RNA from 1 species